rnacentral:tRNA from 1 species
GCGCGCGUAGCUCAAUUGGAUAGAGUGACGGCCUCCGGAGCCGCAGGUUGUGGGUUCAACUCCCGCCGCGCGCACCA